CCUACGUGAGGCUGCAGUGGGGAAUAUUGCGCAAUGGGCGAAAGCCUGACGCAGCGACGCCGCGUGAGGGAUGAAGGUCUUCGGAUCGUAAACCUCUGUCAGCAGGGAAGAACGGUCACUGUGCUAAUCAGCAGUGAAUUGACGGUACCUGCAAAGGAAGCACCGGCUAACUCCGUGCCAGCAGCCGCGGUAAUACGGAGGGUGCGAGCGUUAAUCGGAAUUACUGGGCGUAAAGCGCUCGUAGGCGGUAUGUCAAGUCAAGGGUGAAAUCCCCGCGCUCAACGUGGGAACUGCCUUUGAAACGGGCAAACUGGAGUGUGUGAGAGGAUAGUGGAAUUCCAGGUGGAGGAGUGAAAUCCGUAGAUAUCUGGAGGAACAUCAGUGGCGAAGGCGACUAUCUGGCACAUAACUGACGCUGAGGAGCGAAAGCGUGGGUAGCAAACAGGAUUAGAAACCCCUGUAGUC
rnacentral:rRNA from 1 species